rnacentral:rRNA from 1 species
CGGGGGGGGCAAGCGUUGUUCGGAAUUACUGGGCGUAAAGGGCUCGUAGGUGGCCAAUUAAGUCAGACGUGAAAUCCCCAGGCUCAACUUGGGAACUGCGUCUGAUACUGGUUGGCUUGAAUUCGGGAGAGGGAUGCAGAAUUCCAGGUGUAGCGGUGAAAUGCGUAGAUAUCUGGAGGAAUACCGGUGGCGAAGGCGGCAUCCUGGACCGAGAUUGACACUGAGGAGCGAAAGCCAGGGGAGCAAACGGGAUUAGAUACCCCGGUAGUCCUGGCCCUAAACGAUGAAUGCUUGGUGUGACGGGUAUCGAUCCCUGUCGUGCCGAAGCUAACGCAUUAAGCAUUCCGCCUGGGGAGUACGGUCGCAAGGCUG